AGCGAACGCUGGCGGAAUGCUUAACACAUGCAAGUCGCACGGCCGUUGGGGGUGACUCUGGCGGCAGUGGCGGACGGGUGCGUAACGCGUAGGAACAUGUCCGGAGGUGGGGGACAACCCUGGGAAACUGGGGCUAAUACCGCAUAUGGGCUGUGGCCCAAAGCCUUUCGGGCGCCUUUGGAGUGGCCUGCGUCCGAUUAGCUAGUUGGUGGGGUAAUGGCUUACCAAGGCGACGAUCGGUAGCUGGUCUGAGAGGACGAUCAGCCACACUGGACUGAGACACGGCCCAGACUCCUACGGGAGGCAGCAGUGGGGAAUAUUGGACAAUGGGCGCAAGCCUGAUCCAGCAAUUCCGCGUGGGUGAAGAAGGUCUUCGG
rnacentral:rRNA from 1 species